CCUACGGGAGGCAGCAGUGGGGAAUAUUGCACAAUGGGGGGAACCCUGAUGCAGCAACGCCGCGUGGGUGAAGAAGUACUUCGGUAUGUAAAGCCCUGUCAGCAGGGAAGAAAAUGACGGUACCUGACCAAGAAGCCCCGGCUAACUACGUGCCAGCAGCCGCGGUAAUACGUAGGGGGCCAGCGUUAUCCGGAUUUACUGGGUGUAAAGGGAGCGUAGACGGCAAGGCAAGUCUGGAGUGAAAGCCCGUGGCUCAACCACGGGACUGCUGUGGAAACUGUGUUGCUGGAGUGCAGGAGGGGUAAGCGGAAUUCCUGGGGUAGCGGUGAAAUGCGUAGAUAUUAGGAGGAACACCGGUGGCGAAGGCGGCUUACUGGACUGUAACUGACGUUGAGGCUCGAAGCCGUGGGGAGCAAACAGGAUUAGAUACCCGAGUAGUC
rnacentral:rRNA from 1 species